GUAAAGCGUGCGCAGGCGGUUAUGUAAGACAGAUGUGAAAUCCCCGGGCUCAACCUGGGAACUGCAUUUGUGACUGCAUGGCUAGAGUACGGUAGAGGGGGAUGGAAUUCCGCGUGUAGCAGUGAAAUGCGUAGAUAUGCGGAGGAACACCGAUGGCGAAGGCAAUCCCCUGGACCUGUACUGACGCUCAUGCACGAAAGCGUGGGGAGCAAACAGGAUUAGAUACCUGU
rnacentral:rRNA from 1 species